UAAAUUUCGAUAAAUUGGAGU
rnacentral:piRNA from 1 species